rnacentral:rRNA from 1 species
AACUCUGGCGAUGUCCUACUUUCGCACAACCUAUAGAAGUACUAUCAUCGGGGCUGCGGCGUUUCACUUCCGUGUUCGGAAUGGGAACGGGUGGGACCACCGCGCUGGGAUCACCAG